CCCUUAGAUGUUCUGGGCCGCACGCGCGCUACACUGAUUCAUGCAACAAGUUUUGUCCUUGGCUGAUAGGCCUGGGUAAUCUUUGAACGUGAAUCGUGAUGGGGAUAGAUGAUUGCAAUUAUUCAUCUUCAACGAGGAAUUCCUAGUAAACGCAAGUCAUCAGCUUGCAUUGAUUACGUCCCUGCCCUUUGUACACACCGCCCGUCGCACCUACCGAUUGAAUGGCCCGGUGAAAUCUUCGGAUCUGAGAGAUGUCUGAUUAAUUUCGGACGCCUUUUGGAAAAGUUGUUUAAACCUUACCAUUUAGAGGAAGGUGAAGUCGUAACA
rnacentral:rRNA from 1 species